CACAAAAGAGGAGCAGCUCAGCAAGCUUGGCCUGGGCCAUGGAAGGGAGCACACCAACAUCUGGACCGACCCCAGAUGAGCUGGUUCUGCAGGAGGGCAGGUGGUGAACCUCAUGAAGCAAUGCCUGCAGAUAUGCUUUGUGGAGAAAGAGGUCCUGCAGGCCUUGUGUGACAGCCACAGAGCUGUAGCGAGGCUGCAUCCAUGUAAAACCCCAGAAAUCCACGGAGGUGUGAAGCAUUCUAGCAUUGCCAUCCACCCCUCCAACUUCCACAUCCACCUUGACGUGCCAGCAGAGCAUUCUACAAAACCCUCUUCAACCGUUCAUGCUUAUCCAGUCAGAGCCGUGAGACGUUCUUAUUUCUUCGUGAGGUGCCCUUGGUCCUCAUGCUGCUUAUCUUGCUCCAC